UCUGUCCACAGUCUACCUCUUCUAGAAUCAAAUCACUAAACUAGUUGAAGCUGAGGAUAAAAGCUGCUAAUGAAGCUGAGGCGGCUUGCCAACGGCGUCUCUCUGUUGCUGAGGCUGAAAUAGCUGAUUUAAGAUCCAAAUUGGAUACUACUGAAAGCAUGGAAGGCAAGCAUUCGUUUCUGUGCCUAGCACUUUUCCUGUGCCUGGAGAAGAACUGAUGUUUUGAUGAUUGUAAGAGGGGCAAGGAGAAGCUUGUUUGUGAUGCUGCUCAAGUACUGCUUUAUUUCGGAGUUGAACAAAUCAUCUAUGUUUCUGAAAUGACGCACUGCUAAAUAAAGGUCUAUACUCCGAGGACUGCGCCUUAUGCUAGUGAGGAAAUUGAUGUGGUUCGUGAGCAAUGGGCGAAGUUUUUUACCACCAAGUAUUUAUUAUUGACCUGAGGGCGCUUGAUCGUGUUGGUUUAGAUGUUAUAGAACAAUCUUUUAUG